rnacentral:rRNA from 1 species
UGGGGAAUUUUGGACAAUGGGCGCAAGCCUGAUCCAGCCAUGCCGCGUGGGUGAAGAAGGCCUUCGGGUUGUAAAGCCCUUUUGUCCGGAAAGAAAAGCUUCGGGCUAAUACCCCGGGGUUCUGACGGUACCGGAAGAAUAAGCACCGGCUAACUUCGUG